CUUCUUCUUGUUCUCUUUGCAGGCGACCACGUAUCGCUGAGCCACAUUCAGAGGAGGGGAGUAACCGUCUGCGUACGACGUGUCCUCAAACAGCACCGAGUAGUCGUCCUGAGGCUGUGGACAGACAAAUGUUAAGAGAGAAGAUGAGCAGCAGUUACCUCUCCCCCGGCUUCCCGAUCCACAGAGGGAGCGUCAUGGCCGACUGCUGGAGCAGCGUCAUCAGGACCCCGCGCCUCAUGGUCUUCCUGGGAGGGUCGCUGUCGCUGUAAACUCCUGCCAUCUUAGCAGCUGCAAAAGAAGAAAAGAAUAAG